rnacentral:rRNA from 1 species
UACGAAGGGGGCUAGCGUUGCUCGGAAUUACUGGGCGUAAAGGGCGCGUAGGCGGGAUGGCAAGUCGGUCGUGAAAUCCUUCGGCUCAACCGAAGAACGUCGAUCGAUACUGCUGUUCUUGAGGGUUGCAGAGGAGACUGGAAUUCCACGUGUAGCGGUGAAAUGCGUAGAGAUGUGGAGGAACACCAGUGGCGAAGGCGACUCUUUGGUCUGUAACUGACGCUGAGGCGCGAAAGCGUGGGGAGCAAACAGG